UUGUCCAAAAAUAAAACAGUAUUUUACAGUAAAAUUGUGUAAGUGUAAAGUUGCAAGACAUACUUGGUCAACAGCCAUACAGGUCACACUGAGGGUGGCCGUAUAAACAACUUAAACACUGUUACUAAUAUGCGCCACAAUGUGAACCCACACCAAACAAGAAUGACAAACACAUUUCGGGAGAACAUCCGCACCGUAACACAACAUAAACACAACACAACAAAUACCCAGAACCCAUUGCAGCACUAACUCUUCCGGGAUGGAUGGGUGUUGCAUAUUGUGUGGCACAAAGAGACGAGAAAAUGUUGACAGUCUAAAAGUAACACGUCUUCCUUCACUCCUUAUUUCAGUUUUUUUGAUGAAUUAUUAUGUGUAGACUCUAAAUAAAUUUCCAUGAGGUUUUUCCCUCCCAAUCGUGCAGCCCUUGCAGGCUUCUCUCCUCCCUCCAUGUCCAAAAAGAAUGAAAGGUUUGGCUGUCAUGUGCUCCAUUUCUAAACUGCCUGCCUGGCUUCACUGGAGCAUGGUUCGUGGGCGUAGACGCCGCUUCCUGUCGUCGUGGGAUGGCAUGUCCAUCCAAAGCUGUGUGGUUUUGCAAAGCAUGCUGGGUAGAGAGACAGGCAUGGGGAGGGGCGGCAUUUUUCCUCAACAAGCAUGGAGGAUCUUUAUGUUUUGAUGUGUUUGUUAUUAUUAUUAUUAUUAUUAUUAUUAUUAUUAUUAUUAAUAGCCCCGCGCUUGCACCGUUUUUCCAUCAUCACGCCAUCAUGAACCACGAUGAGUGGUCUUUAUUGUGAUCUGCUCCAGCAGUUGUUAGACUUUUGUGAGAACGUGUCUUUAAGACUUUGUAUGCUGCAUGAAUGCCUCAUGUAAUCAGAUGCUGUUUAUCACGGUGUCAAGACACGUGUGUUCGUGUGUGUUCGUGUGUGUUCGUGUGUGUGCGUGUAUGUUCGUGUGUGUGUGCGUGUGCAUGUGUGUGCGUGUGUGUGUGUGUGUGCGUGUGCGUGUGCGUGUGCAUGACAAGGUUUUUUUUUAAAGUAGCAGUAGAGUGGAAAAAGAAGUUGCCUCCAUAUUGAAACUAUUAUUUGAUAUAUGCUGUAUAUAUUAUAUAUAUAUAUAUAUAUAUAUAUAUACACAUAACAAUAUGACAACAAAAGACCCAAAGUUUGCCAAUAAGUAGAUAUGAUCAAAAUAGUAUCAAUUCCCGAGUCAUUUUGAGAGGUAACGAGGAACCACAGAUCCUUUCCCCAUCAACGACGAUCCUAAUCAAGCAAACUUUGUGAGAGACGAAGAUUACUUUAGGAACAAAUUGUGAUCCAGAACCUUAUGUUUUUUAACACGAACACAAAGAGGAUGAGCAAUUUUAGAAUGAUGGAUGUGGCUUUAUUGAGACAUCAUAGCAUUAGCAGCAUCGCUAGGUGCUAAUCAUACAAACUAACCAUAAUAAACAAACUCGUACUGUAAUAUUUCCACUCUCGCCUGGAUGUCGACCGACGAGACGCUCGCAUAAUUGCGUUUGAAUGAAGAUUCAAUCGCAAUCCUCAUGAAGGGUAAAAAAAAAAAAAAGUUGCCGCAACUAGCGUCCCUUUGUCUACUUUGAGGGAUGUGAAAGUACUAGCAGGUGAGAGAUGCAUGAAUUACAAUCUACAAUUGACUUCUAGCAAGUUUGAGACCGAGCAGAAGCAACUGCCAUCUUACAGUGUCAACAAUAGCAGCUAGCAUUAGCUCACUGUUAUAUACGCGCCUCUAAAAUAGUUUGUCUGCGUGAUCGCACGACGUAGAGGAGGAACCACAGAUCCCUUCCCCAUCAGCAACAACGCUCAUCAAGCAGACUUUGUAAAAGACGACGACGAUUACUUUGGGAACAAAUUGUGAUCCAGAACCUUAUGUUUUUGAGCCCGAACCCAAAGAGGAUGAGCAAUUUUAGAAUGAUGGAUGUAGCUUUAGUGAGACAGUAUAGCAUUAGCAGCAUCGCUAGGUGCUAAACAUACAAAUUAACCAUAAUAAAACAAACUCUUACUGUAAUAUUUCCACUCUCGCCAGGAUGUCAAACGACAGGACACUCGCAUAAUUCAGUUUAGAUGAAGAUUCAAUCGCAAUCCUCAUGAAGGGUUAAAAAAAAGUUGCCGCAACUAGCGUCUUUUUGGCUAUUUCGGGGUAUUUGUGAAAGUUGGUCCUUGGCCACAUUUGUCUACUAGCAGGUGAGAGAUGUAAGAAUUAUAAUCUACAAUUGACUUUUAGUAAGUUUGAGACCGAGUAGAAGGAGCCGCCAUUUUAUAGUGUCAACAAUAGCAGCUAGCAUUAGCUCACUGCUACCAUCUCGCCUCUAAAAUAGUUUGUCUGCGUGAUCGCGUGACGUAGAAGAGGAACCACAGAUCCCUUCCCUAUCAGCAACAAUGCUAAUCAAGCAGACUUUGUGAGAGAUGACGACAGUUAUUUUGGGAACAAAUUGUAAUCCGGAACCUUAUGUUUUUGAGCCCGAACAUAAAGAGGAUGAGCAAUAAGUUUUAGAAGCUGAAUGAUGGAUGUGGCUUUAUUGAGACAUUACAGCAUUAGCAACAUUGCUACGUGCUAAACAUACAAGUUAACUAAAACAAAUCAUGAAAAAAACACUUACUGUAAUAUUUCCACUCCCGCUGGGCGACCCGUGCAAUGGACGUCGAGUGGAUCUAACAUAAAAGGGUGCGAGUCCAGUCCAUAGUGGAUCUAACAUAAUAGUGUGAGAUUCCAGUCCAUAGUGGAUCUAACAUAAUAGUGAGAGUCCAGUCCAUAGUGGAUCUAACAUAAUAGUGAGAGUCCAGUCCAUAGUGGAUCUAACAUAAUAGUGUGAAUCCAGGACAUAGUGAAUCUAAUAUAAUAGUGUGAGAGUCCAGUCCAUAGUGAAUCUAACAUAAUAGUGAGAGUCCAGUCCAUAGUGGAUCUAACAUAGUAGUGUGAAAGUCCAGUCCAUAGUGGAUCUAACAUAAUAGUGUGAGAGUCCAGUCCAUAGUGAAUCUAACAUAAUAGUGUGAGAGUCCAGUCCAUAGUGGAUCUAACAUAAUAGUGAGAGUCCAGUCCAUAGUGGAUCUAACAUAAUAGUGAGAGUCCAGUCCAUAGUGAAUCUAACAUAGAAGUGUGAAAGUCCAGUCCAUAGUGGAUCUAACAUUAUAGUGAGAGUCCAGUCCAUAGUGGAUCUAACAUAGAAGUGUGAAAGUCCAGUCCAUAGUGGAUCCAACAUUAUAGUGAGAGUCCAGUCCAUAGUGGAUCUAACAUAAUAGUGUGAGAGUCCAGUCCAUAGUGGAUCUAACAUAGUGUGAAAGUCCAGUCCAUAGUAGGGUUGGGUAUCAAGAUCGAGUAUCGAUUGGAACCGGGACUAACUUUCCGAUUCUCCCGGAAUCGUUCAAAAGUUUAAAUUUCGAUUCCUAGUUUUGAUACCCAGUCCACUGACCGGAAAAAAAAAAUAAGUCAGCCGACCGGAAGAAGAAGCCGCUGAACACCAACGAAGAAGCGCCCACCGCCAGAAGUGUUAGCAUAGCCGAGCCUAUGUAGCCGAGCGAGUCAGUCAAGCAUGGAUAGCGGGCGUCGGCUGUCGAAAGUGUGGUUUUAUUUUACUACAAAAAAUAAAAUAACGGCGAAAUGUAACACGUCCGACAGGACUGUUUCGUGCUUAGGGGGGUGCACGUCGAACAUGAUGAAGCACCUCCGAGUUCAUGGAGUACAAAUAAAUGCAUGUCCCGUCUUCGACGCGCUGCGCCGACCGUCCUCCUCUGUCUCUGGCUCCGGCUCCGACGCCCAGCCUGGCACCUAGGUGACUGCAAUGCAGUCCGAAUCCGACAAUUUACAACCUGCUAGCCAGGCUCCGCGAUGUGCUCAGCGUACUCCGUUCACCGUAGCGGCAAUGGGGAAGAUGUCGGUGCCACAGACGGAAGAGUGCCACAGAAAGGUCACUGCACACAUAGUCAAAAGACUGCAUCCCUUUUCAGAAGUGGAAUCUCCAACAUUUAGGGAUAUGGUGAAAACUCUCAACCCAAAAUACAUACCACCUUCCAGGGACUACCUGGCAAACACAUUGAUCCCGGCAUGGUACAAGAAGAAUCAGAAUCGAGAAUCGUCAGGAAUCGGAAUCGAAACAAAGAAUCUGAAUCGUUCGAAUUCAAACAAUACCCAACCCUAGUCCAUAGUAGAUCUAACAUAAUAGUGAGAGUCCAGUCCAUAGUAGAUCUAACAUAAUAGUGAGAGUCCAGUCCAUAGUGGAUCUAACAUAAUAGUGUGAGAGUCCAGUCCAUAGUGGAUCUAACAUAAUAGUGAAAGUAAGUCCAUAGUGGAUCUAACAUAAUAGUGAGAGUCCAGUCCAUAGUGGAUCUAACAUAAUAGUGAAAGUCACGUCCAUAGUGGUUCUAACAUAAUAGUGUGAGAGUCCAGUCCAUAGUGAUUCUAACAUAAUAGUGUGAGAGUCCAGUCCAUAGUGGAUCCAACAUAGUAGUGAGAGUCCAGUCUAUAGUGGAUCUAACAUAAUAGUGAAAGUCAAUUCCAUAGUGGAUCUAACAUUAUAGUGAAAGUCCAGUCCAUAGUGGGUCUAAAAUAAUAUUGUGAGAGUCCAGUCCAUAAUGGAUCCAACAUAAUAGUGAGAGUCCAGUCCAUAGUGGAUCCAACAUAAUAGUGAGAGUCCAGUCCAUAGUGGAUCUAACAUAAUAGUGAGAGGCCAGUCCAUAGUGGAUCUAACAUAAUAGUGAGAGUCCAGUCCAUAGUGGAUCUAACAUAAUAGUGUGAAAGUCCAGUCCUUAGUGGAUCUAACAUAACAGUGAGAGUCCAGUCCAUAGUGGAUCUAACAUAAUAGUGAGAGUCCAGUCCAUAGUAGAUCUAACAUAAUAGUGAGAGUCCAGUCCAUAGUGGAUCUAACAUAAUAGUGUGAGAGUCCAGUCCAUAGUGAAUCUAACAUAAUAGUGAACGUAAGUCCAUAGUGUAUCUAACAUAAUAGUGAGAGUCCAGUCCAUAGUGGAUCUAACAUAAUAGUGAAAGUCACGUCCAUAGUGGUUCUAACAUAAUAGUGUGAGAGUCCAGUCCAUAGUGAUUCUAACAUAAUAGUGUGAGAGUCCAGUCCAUAGUGGAUCCAACAUAGUAGUGAGAGUCCAGUCUAUAGUGGAUCUAACAUAAUAGUGAAAGUCAAGUCCAUAGUGGAUCUAACAUUAUAGUGAAAGUCCAGUCCAUAGUGGGUCUAAAAUAAUAUUGUGAGAGUCCAGUCCAUAAUGGAUCCAACAUAAUAGUGAGAGUCCAGUCCAUAGUGGAUCUAACAUAAUAGUGAGAGGCCAGUCCAUAGUGGAUCUAACAUAAUAGUGAGAGUCCAGUCCAUAGUGGAUCUAACAUAAUAGUGUGAAAGUCCAGUCCAUAGUGGAUCUAACAUAACAGUGAGAGUCCAGUCCAUAGUGGAUCUAACAUAACAGUGAGAGUCCAGUCCAUAGUGGAUCUAACAUAAUAGUGAGAGUCCAGUCCAUAGUGGAUCUAACAUAAUAGUGUGAAAGUCCAGUCCAUACUGGAUCUAACAUAACAGUGAGAGUCCAGUCCAUAGUGGAUCUAACAUAAUAGUGAGAGUCCGGUCCAUAGUGGAUCCAACAUAAUAGUGAGAGUCCAGUCCAUAGUGGAUCUAACAUAGUAGUGAGAGUCCAGUCUAUAGUGGAUCUAACAUAAUAGUGAGAGUCCAGUCCAUAGUUGAAUUAACAUAAUAGUGAGAGUCCAGUCCAUAGUGGAUCUAACAUAAUAGCGUGAAAGUCCAGUCCAUAGUGGAUCUAACAUAAUAGUGAGAGUCCAGUCCAUAGUGGAUAUAAAAUAGUAGUGAGAGUCCAGUCCAUAGUGGAUCUAACAUAAUAGUGAGAGUCCAGUCCAUAGUGGAUCUAACAUAAUAGUGUGAAAGUCCAGUCCAUAGUGGAUCUAACAUAAUAGUGAGAGUCCAGUCCAUAGUGGAUAUAAAAUAGUAGUGAGAGUCCAGUCCAUAGUGGAUCUAACAUAAUAGUGAGAGUCCAAUCCAUAGUGUGGACAGCAGGAGAUCAUCUUUAGAGGAGACAGGUCAGCAGCGCAGAGACGUCCACAACUGAUGCACCGAUGAGUGAGUCCUGACUUUGGACAGCUUGUGCCUCAUCUGUGGUCACCGAAUCUGUGCCCCCCCUUCCCCCUCCACGAAGGAGAGGGGGCAGAAGAUAAGCGGCAGAUCAACUGAUCUAAAAGGGGGUAUAUUUAAAGGCUAGAGUGUACAGAUUAGUUUUAAUUGGGACUUAAAGCUCCUAUUAAGGUUGCAUCUCUAACUCUUACUGCUAGAACAUUCCAGAGUACUGGAGCCCCAAUAGAAAAUGCUUUAUAGCCCGCAAACUUUUUUUGGGGCUCUGGGAAUGUUUCCGUAUUUCCAGUAUGACUGAUCCGAAGAUAUAUUCAAAAUGGCCGACUGAAUUUGUGGCAUUUUCUGAUGUUCCGACGGUAUUUUCCACAUACUUUUCGGGUUGUGACUACAAUUGAAUAUGUUUAAUGAAGCAUGUAAAGUCCACUUGUUGUUCCACUCCACUGCUACUCUUCAGGGGCCGGCGCUGGGGAAUGAGACUGUGUUUGUGUUUGAGGGUGUGAAGGUGCUUUCACACCCGCUUGCAUCCUGACUAAAACAUCUCAUUCCUCGCAUGAGCUUUGAUCUAAGUGGCAAAUGGCCGCCCCCGUCCAAAAGUCGACCAUUUGCUGACUUAAGGGUUCUUGCCGAGCUCCUCUGCAUGUCCCGCACUGUGUGACUCAGCCACAGGAUCCUCUUCUCUCCUCUCACCUUGUUUCCUUUCCUUCCCUACGCCCGCUCUCCUCCACCCUGCCAGUCCGUCUGUCUUCUGUCAGCGCAUCCCACUUCCUGUCUGUCAUGUGAGCCAAUAACGUUUAGCUUCGACGUUUGUUCCCAUGUCUUUCUUUUAAUGUGGCGAGAUGGUCCACCUAGGUGACAUCACUUCCUCUCUAACGCUUUAAAGUUGUUAUUAUUAUUCAUUAUUCUGUUUUUAUUUUGAAUUUGGCUCAUCUUUUCUUUCUUACAUAUAUUUUCUCUAUUUCCCCUGAUGAUUUGUAUAUGUUGUU